UACAGAGGUCUCAAGCGUUGUUCGGAUUCAUUGGGCGUAAAGGGCGCGUAGGCGGUUUGACAAGUCUGAUGUGAAAUCUAUGGGCUCAACUCAUAGUCUGCAUUAGAAACUGUCGGGCUUGAGUAUGGGAGAGGUGAGUGGAAUUUCCGGUGUAGCGGUGAAAUGCGUAGAUAUCGGAAGGAACACCUGUGGCGAAAGCGGCUCACUGGACCAUAACUGACGCUGAGGCGCGAAAGCUAGGGGAGCAAACAGG
rnacentral:rRNA from 1 species